UUUGCAUAUGCUACCAUCAUAUCCAUUUUCUUAAUUUGCAAUAAAAUAAUAAAAUGCCAAACAUGACCUGUGUUACAUAAACUGUCAACAAAAUAACAAGACAAUACCUAAAAACACCCUUAUUUCACACCACUAACAAUAAACAGAUAACAAUCUGUCAGGCAUUCAGAGCUAAACAGGGUACUGAUUAUCUAGGGGUAGAUAAGGCUACUGAUGGGGUUUGCCUAGAGAUAAGGCUGUGUGGAAUAAGAUAUAAGGCUUUUGAUUGGCUAUUGCACUGAGGAAGUUAUCUUUUUGAAAACAACAACUUUUGAAAAAUAAGCUGGUGUCAGCAAUUGAAUAUUGAGCUAAAUUUAAUUCAGCAACAUUAAUAUAAAGAAGUGAAAGACUUAUAAUGGUAGUGUAAAAUGUCUUGAAAUUCUGUCAGCAUGAAGUAUUGUGUGAUGAAAACAAUGUGUUUUUUACUGCAAUGUGGAAAUCAAUAAUAAGUUGGUUGGAAAGGAGGUUGAACUGCCUGUUGUUGUUUUUGGAAUACUGAAGAACAGUUUUAACAGGUUAAACUCUUGCCACAAGGCAAAAUUGACAUCGAUGGGAAGAUCCUUUGGAAAGAAUGUGCAUCAUCGCCUGCCUGACGUAUGGACUUUUAAACCUGGUUUUUACCCUGCACAAGCUGGCAAACUUGAGGGGAACAAGAGUGGGAAAACCUCGCCCUGUCCUUGACCAAGAAAGCUCGAUUUGUUGAGAGAUCAACUGGCAUAAGAGAUGCUCAAGAGGAGAAGGACACAAGCAGCAUCAAUGGUACAACUACGUGUCGCUCCAGCGCCCGCUUUCCAGGUCUCUACCAGCUGCUUUCCAGGUCCCUCCACCCGCCAAGAUCAGGUCUAAUUCCCUGCACUGGCUGCUUUACAGGUCCCCUAGCAGUCAAGGUCUCUCCAGUAGCUGCUGUGCAGGUCCCAACACCGUAUGCCGUCAAGGUUCCUCCAUAAGCUGAAAUCCAGGUUCCUCAUUCCACUGCGGUGCAGGUACCUCCAACAGCUGAGAUCCAGGUCUCUGCAGCAGCUGCGGUCUAAAUACUCCACCCGCAGUGGUCCAUUGCGGUCAACCUUUUGCUUUAAAAUCUUCCAUAAAUGUCUAUUAUUUUAUAAUGUAUUGUAAAAAUAAUCUGUUUGUAUAAAUUUGCGGUGUACUAUUUUUGUCAUAUAAACAUAAUUUUCGUA